CCCAUAUGUGUGUGUGUGUGUCUUUGUCCUCCACCACUGCUUGACAACUGGUGCUGGUGUGUUUACAUCCCCGUAACUUAGCAGCUCAGCAAAAAGAGACUGGUAGAAUAAGUACCAGGCCUAAAAUAAUAAGGUAAGUACUGGGGACAAUUCAUUCGACGAAAACUUCUCCAAGGUGGUGCCCCAGCAUGGCCAUGAUCUAAUGAUUGAAACAAGUAAAAGAUAUAUAUAUAUAUAUAGUGAGAGAGAGAGAGGUUGGGAAAGCAGUGAUGUAUUUAUGGUUUCUCAUUAAAUUCUCAUUAUGAUCUAAUAUAUCAACCAUGUUCUAUGAGCCAAUUAUAGAAUUUCUUUGUUUUUGUGUUUUGAUUUUUUUCAUUCACGGGUAAUUGAUGCAAGGUAAGAUUUCUGCAAAAUAAAACAGCUUCACUAUUUUAAUUCCCAGUGGGAACUAUAUGAUUAUUACCAACAUAUCUGAGUUUUUAACUCUAUAUAAGAACUCAUCAUCUUACUGCUUAAAUGUUGCUAGAAAAUUGAAUCUCCUAACACAAGCACCUUGAUCCAUGACAACAAAAUUUAUUUAUCCUAGAAAAAUGAUAAAGUAUACAUAAACCCUUUGCCCCUCAUAUAUAUAUAUAUACAUUUACACACGUGUGUGUGCAUGCACACAUAUAUACAGGGAGAGUGAGAUUGACUACUUUCACUGAACAAAUCAUUUCAGUUUUAACAACUACAAGUUGACUUUGAAGUAUUUUAUUUUGCUUGAUGGUUCUCUUGAGUCUUUAGUUUUAUACUAAAAGUAAGAAAUUCCUCAUAUCUUCCAUAAUUGGUACUUUGUCUUUUGUUCUAUGUGAAGAGUUUUGCAAUUCUUUAAAUCUAAUUACACAAAAACAAAAAAAAUUUUAUGUAUGAUUUAAGGGCAAUUUAGUGCAUCUCACAACCACAUGAUGCCUUCCUCGUUUCUUUGUCACUCUGACAUGUAUUGAUGUUUUUCAAUAUUUUUCUCAUUUAAUGGAAUGAUGAUGCACCUCUGUCAGUGACAAGGAAAUGAGGAAGGGAUCAGGUGGUCAUGAGAUGUACUAAAAAUAACAGCCAAAUCACCCUUUAAAUCACACUUUUUUUUUUUUGCAUAAUUGUAUGAAUUCCCAUGCAUAAAACACAAAUUUGCAAAACUUUUCUGAAAAAUCAAAAAAUCAAAAUGUUAUGAGGGUGUUGUAUGGGGGUGCUUAAAUCAGAAUUUCUCGGGUUUUUUUUUUUAAAGGUUUUCUUCCGACAUUUCAAUCAUGAAAAGUAAAAUGAAGAGGGAGAGGUACAAAAAUUUUUUUUCUCUUAAAGUGCCUGUUAUAAGUGGUCCAAAAUACAGAGUUCUAUAAUAUUGAAGAUAUGUUAUGCAACAUACUUAGUACAACCAAAAUUAGCUUAUAGUUAGGUGAAUCCCUUUUGUCAAGCAACAAAAGUGUGUUUCUUGCCUAUUUUUGCUUCAUCAAAGAGCUAUUAUUUGUAAGACAACUAGAAAAGGAUACAAGAGGGAAGUCGGUAUUUCAUGUUGUUCAGAUUUUUUUCAGAGUGAACAAUAUCCUUCAGAUUAAUAUUCUUAUUUGUGCAAUAGAUGGGACACCAUCAAUAGCAGGUUGUCAUCAGUGCUUCAUCAGUUAUUGAAAAAGUUAUGCUUAGUGUUGUUUACAGCACAUCUGGUUAUAAAUAACGUAAGUGGUAGAUGAAAGAAAUCAUUGAGCUCUGUUAUCAAGGCAGUAUAUAAAAUCAUAACACGUGUUCUCAAUUCCCCACUAUUGCAAUCCCUUUUUAAAACAGUUAUUGAAUUAUUCCAAAACUCUAAUUCUGUUCUCUGUGAACUAAGAAACAUCAAGCAUGACAUGAAUAGCAGAUAUAUUCACAAAGUUCAUUGAAGUUAAUUUACGAUUAGAAAUUUGGUUAAAUCUUGUCAAAAUAAAAUCACCCAUCUCCACAUGCCUUUCCAAGUUAGAGUUAUUCAAAUAUAACAUAAGUUACUGUGAGUUCUUCCAGUUUCCUAACCUCUCUGAAAUAGAGAAGGUAAAAAGUAAACGUGAAGAUGACUUUUAAGUGUAUUGUUCACAUGCACAGAAACAUGCCUGGAGACAAAAAUAAUAGAGGAAGAACUGGUUUCACUUUAAAAGGACGUUGAGAUGAAGCUAAAGUUCAAAGAAUCAUACCAUAAUUUUUUACUAGACAUUUCUGACAGCUACAUGCACUGUGGAACAAAGUCUAGAUGUACUUUAUUGUCUUCUCAACAUCAUAUUUAGUAGAGUGGGGCUUCAGUGCAGCUGCCCAGCCUCUUUCUAAGUGAAGUAAAGCAGACUGAAAAUUAUUGAACACAGGGAUGUGAGACAACUUCUCAGCACCUUUCAACCUGAUGCCAAGAAACUGAUACCCCUGCACAAUGUAAAACUAUUACAUUAAAAAUAUGAAAACAAUGUAGUUACAGAUAGUAAAUUUACUCUCUCAUAUUGCAAAAACAGCAAAAUAAUGAGUUAAAUGGGUUAAAUUAUAUUUGUGAAAUACAAUUAUGUCAAAUUCACAGAAGAAAGAAGUCUGUGUUUCUGUAGUGGUAGGGUGCUAGAAAUGUAGGUUGUGGGGGUGGGGAGCAGUCCGAAAAAAUUUGGAGGCAUUUGCUUUAAAAUUUUAUUUUAAAUAUUUAAAAUCUUUUAAAAAUGGUUAUGUAAAAAAAGUCAACUAACACCCAAAUUUUUUGUUAGAAUAAAGCUUCGAUUUGUUUUAAAAAAUUAUAUCCCAGUAACAUUUUUCGCAUUUUCAUUGACCCACAAGAUGGCAAAAGAGUCAUUUAGCUCAGUUUCCUCUUUACUUUUCCGACCUUUUGCAACAAGAAGCUUCAAAGAGAAGAAGAAUAUUAUCUUUCUUGGAAGAGAGAUGCCAAAGCUUGAAUUGAAAAUCAAAGCCAAAGUGAGCAGUAAGGAAUGUCAUCGUUAUUUUGAUUCCAAGUAUUAUGAACAAUAUGAGUGGAUGAUAGGAUGUCCCAUUCUCAACAAAUUUAUUCUGUUUUCUAUGUCUGUUAUUUUGUCAACAUAAUAACACAUGGACAACUACCGGCUACUGUGAUUUGAACAAUUUGACAAGACACAAAAAAUCUUAAAAUCAUCCGAAUUCCAUAAUUGCUCUGAAAACCUUUGGCCGACAGCAAAUUGAUGCAACAAUCGAUCACGUGAAAGCAAAUUCAGUUCAGUUGCAUAAUAGAUCAAUCAAGAAAAAUCAUGAAAUAUUGAAACGGUUAAUUCAUUGUAUUGAAAUUUUGUUUAUUAAGAAUUUUCAUUUCAAGAAUACAAUCAAACAAUAAGGACAAUUUGCUGGCUAUAUGUGAAGCAGUAGCAGAAUACGAUAGUUGUUUAAGAUUGCAUCUAGAUUUCAUGAGAGAAAAUGCCAACUGCACAUUUUCUGGACUUUCAAAUAAUAUUCAAAACAAGAUAAUUAAUUGUAUAUAUGCUACAAUUGAAGGUGAAAUUAAGGCAAUGAUAAAAAAAAAACCACCUUUGUUGCUGUUAUGUUUGAUGAGACUACAGACCUUCAAAUGAGAUCUCAAUUGUGUUUUACGAUUUGUUGAUGAGAAAGAAAAGCCUCAAGAAAGGUUUUUAGGAUAUGUCAAUGUCAACAAAGAUAGAAGAGUUGCAUCAUUGACAGAAGUUUGAAAAUUUGUUAAUAAAUUCAACUAUGGCCAAAAAUUUAUUGCGCAAGCUUAUGAUGGAGCAAGCGUGAUGGCUGGGCAUUUGAAUGUCAUAUUUGUACAUUGUUAUGCACAUUCACUUAAUUUAGUGCUCUCACAGUCAGCUUCAAAUAUUCAUGAAUGUCAAAUUUUCUUUCAAACUUUAAAAGAAAUUUCAACUUUUUCAGCCAAGUUGAUGGCUCAAAGAGUACUACUGGAUGAAAUGAUACAGGAACUUGAACUACACCAAGCUCUAGUUGGAAUAACAAAAUUAUUACAUCUGAUUCUGACCAUACCUGCUAUAUUUGCUUCCUGUGAAAGAUCAUUUUAUUCAUUAAAGCAAGUAAAUAAUUUUAUGAGGUAUUCACAAACUUUUUGAAAAAGAUGAAGUUAGUGUGUGGUACUGAUACAUUCUAUAGCAAAGUGAUUGAUGAAUUUGCCAAAAAGAAAUGAAAAUUUGAACUGAUUUACAAAUAAAUUUUAAAUAUCUCAUUAUAUACGGUUUCUAUUUUUUCUCAGAUAUCUUUUGUAACCAAUAAAGGUCAUCAUGGCCAGUGUGUUGCCAAAUUAUUAUUAAUGGAGAGGGUUAACAAGCCUAAAGCAUGGCUUGUUGGUAGAAAUGCAUUUUCUCUCAUUAAAAUUAGUUCAUAUCACAUUUACAGAGGGAAGAGGAGACAGCUAAUCAUAAAGUUUAUUGCUCAAAACCAACAACAAUCAAUGAAAUGUAAGUAGACAUGUAAAGAGAAGGCACCCAAGUGCUAAUUGAAAUAAUUUAUAAUGUUUGCCAUUCCAUUGGCCUGUUUUGUCAGCAGUGUCAUUACUAGAAUGACCAUCAGUUUGAAGACUUGUGAUGACUCAACAUGUUUGUUCUUUUUUUUAAUUUGAACUAUAAAUCACAGAUAUAUCUUAAUAGAUAUUCUAUUAAACAUUUGAAGUAUGUUUACUUUUCUUUUAGACACCCUUUACAUCUUUAUAAAGAUUUGUUUUUAUGUACAAGGAGAUGGUGAUAAAAUAAAAAAGGUUAACGAUAUUAAUUAUGCACUCUACAUGUAAAAUGAGGGAAUGGAAAACAAGCAGACUGUCAGAUUAGAUGCUGUUGUAUGUUUCUCAGUUUUGAAUUCCAAUAAUUGUACCAUUUACCUUCAUGGUAAAUCAAAGCAUGCUCCUUCACUCAUUCAUUCACUUAUCUUGCAAACAUGGCCUUGUGCCAAAUGAACAAAUCAAUUUAUACACUAUUAAUACUUACCAAAAAGAAGGUUGUUCCCAACAAGAAUAAUAUCAAUGGGUAAAUACAAUUGGAAUAAACAAUAAAUUUGAUUCAUAUUUGGCACUGACUCCAUAUUUCUUCUCCUUUUUUGAAGAUAUUUUAAUAUCAAUUUACUAUCUGUAUGAAUUUUCAAAUAAAUAUAUCUAUGAA
rnacentral:lncRNA from 1 species